UGAGUGUGAAAGGCAAUCGCUGACGGCUUUGGCCGGAAGAGGAAAGUCCGGGCUCCACAGGGCAGAAUGCCGGAUAACGUCCGGCGAGGGUGACCUCAGGGACAGUGCCACAGAAAUGUGUACCGCCUGCUUCGGCAGGUAAGGGUGGAACGGUGCGGUAAGAGCGCACCAGCGGUCGGGUAACCGGCUGGCUAGGUAAACCCCAUUCGGAGCAAGACCAAAUAGGGAAGGGAUGAAGCGGCCCGCUGAUCCUUCCGGGUUGUGUCGCUUGAGCCUGCAAGUAAUUGCAGGCCUAGAUAAAUGAUUGCUGCCGCUUUGCGGAACAGAACCCGGCUUAUUGAGCACUCGUAUU
rnacentral:RNase_P_RNA from 1 species